rnacentral:tRNA from 1 species
GGGCGGUUAGUCUCAGUUGGUAGAGCACUGCCUUCACACGGCAGGGGUCGCUGGUUCGACUCCGUCAACGCCCACCA